UUUUUUUUUGAUACAGAGUCACACUCUGUCAGCCAGGCUGUAGUGCAGUGACACUGUCAUGGCUCCCUGCAGCCUUGACCUCCCAGAUUUAAGCAAUCCUUCCACCUCAGCCUCCUGAGUAGCUGGGACCACAGGUACAUGCCACCACGCUUGGCUAAUUUCUUUUUUCUUUUUUUUGUAGAAUUUGCGGUGGGGGAGGUGGUCUCUGUAUGUUGCCCAGGCUGGUCUUGAACUCCUGAACACAAGUGAUGCCCCCACCUCCGUGUGAGCCACUGCACCUGGCCUAGUGAGUACUCUUGAUCAGAACCAAGCUGCCCAAGGAGGGUGUAGGUAAAGAGGGAAACAGUGGGUUAGCAGCCAGAAGAAAAAUCCAAGCAGGACAGCACUGACUUUGAUUUGAUAAGAUGAUUCCGAAGGUACCCAGUGGAGUGGAGUAACAUAGUCAAGCAGGAGAAAUGGCUGCAGCUCAUUCAACACCAGCCUCUAGUGGAGAUUGGGGGUAGAUAUAAAGAACAAUGUUGCAAACUGCAAAGCCUAGAGGUCUGGUCAUGAGAUGUGGAUGGGAUUCUGGGGAAGGGAAGGAUAUGCUCAACUGUCAGGCAGGCUGCAGAGAAGGAAGCUGCUGUCUUUGGCAGCUGACGGGGUGUGAUGAAAACUGGAGAGGCGGCAUGGAUUACCGAGGCUGCAGGCUUGCGGAAGCGGUGGGGACUGGAAAAGCUCACCAGGACAGAGAAGUUGGGCAACAGGCAAGGCUGGUUGAGGGAAGGGUGGGGAGUUUGAGGUCUCAGACCUAUUUGUAUUUGGUUGGCAAUGUCCUGCAGCCCUUGGUGCGUGACUUACAGAAGAGGGAAGGCCCGGAUGUGUCUUGGGCUAGGAGGGUGGUGGGAGGCAGUUCUAGGCCAUGCAAGGUGCAUGGAGGAGCCCUGAGCUGUUCUCUAUCCAACAAGAAAGACAAGCGCUCCCCUUAGCAAUGUGUAAGUCAGAGAAGGACCUUCUCAGUUCCCUGUCUCUCCAUCUCUGAGCUUGGAAAGUUAAGAACACAGAGCUGGGACACCACUGUCUCAGCUCACAUUCGUUUUAUGUAUAAUGUGACAUUUGCCUUUAAAUUAUCUUUAAAGCACUGACAAAGUAGCAUAGUUUACUCACCUGAAAAGAGUUUGGGAUUUGGAGAAUCACAAACUUGUAUUAAAAUCCUAGGUCUAGAAAGAAAAUGUGGUCUAUCCAUACAAUGGAGUAUAAUUCAGCCUUAAAAAAACAGGAAACUCUGACAUGUGCUAUAACAUGGAUGGAUCUUGUGGAUGUUAUGCUGAGUGAAAUAAGCGAGUCACAGAAAGACAAAUGCUCAUAAUUCCACUUAGACAAGGUACCUAGGGCAAUCCAAUUCAUGGAAACAUAAAGUGGAAUGGUGGUUGCCAGGAACUGGGAAAAAAAAGAAAGGAGGAGUUGUGGUUUAAUGGUACAGUUUCAGUUUUGCAAGACGAAAAAGUUCUGGCAAUUGUUGCACAAUAUGCAUAUAGUUAACACUGUUGUAUUGUACCCUUGAAAAC
ensembl:lncRNA